AGAAGUCAAACCUCUGCAAUCAGGUCACUUACUAUUUGACUUAUGAAGGAAAGAGGAUAUAUAUUAUCUGUCAAUGACCUCCCAACACAUUCCAUGGUCUGACACACGAUGUAGAGGGAGGCGAAGGCUGACAGACUCUACUUGUGUGUUGGAUCUAGAGUAACCUCUUCGUUUUGCCAAGAAUGCAGUCGUAACUCAGAAUGCCUUUUUUGACUUAAUUUGCACACAGCAUGAGAGAGGCAUGUAACUGACAAUUAACCUUUCUCACGGAAGGUGAUAAUUGUGACUAAAACUACAGAAUAAAGCUGCCAGUUAAAGUCAAGGACCGGUUGAGCUCGUGGUUACUGGAGGAGGCUACAAGGCAUGCAAAUAUAACUAAUGGUCAAGAUGUUGAGAAUGGUGCUAAUCAAUAGUGAUCUAAAUAUUUACAUUAACCUUGAUUAGAAUGGUAACACAACGAUCAACUCUGUUGGA